UCUUUGGAGAGUUUGAUCCUGGCUCAGGACGAACGCUGGCGGCGUGCCUAAUACAUGUAAGUCGAGCGGACCGAACGGGAGCUUGCUCUGGUUUGGUCAGCGGCGGACGGGUGAGUAACAC
rnacentral:rRNA from 1 species